AUUUAGCUCAGUGGUUCCGGCGACUGCCUCACAAGAGCAAGGUCCGGAGUUUGAUCCCCAGUACCAAAAAAAAGAAAACACUUUAUUUGGCUGGGGAUGUAGCUCAGUGGUUCUGCCGCCUGCUGCCUGCCUCACAAGCACAAGGACCGAGUUCGAUCCCCGGAACCAAAAAAAAAAAAAAGUUAAAUUCAUAGGCAUAAGGUUGUUCGUAAUAUUCUGUUAUGAUUUAGAAAAUAUUAGUGCUUUUUAAUUUUACAAAAUAUUGAAUUUCAAUAUAUAUACAUAUAACAUUUUUAUCAUAUCCAUCCUCCCUAUUACCCCCUGCUCUCACCUUUAUUCACUUGGACUUCUCUGAUAAUAGUCUCUGUUCUAUUUUUUUGCCAUAAUUUCCCUCUAUGUACUGCUUUAGCAACACCCCAUAGAUUCUGAUAUAUUGUCUUUUCAUUUUCAGUUCAAACUAAUGUCUGAGUUACCUUUUGAUUUCUUCUUUCCAGGGUUACCUAGAAGCAUGUAGCUUCGGAGUCCAGAGUGCUAACCAUUACACGAUGGAACCCGCCCCCAGUAGCUUCAAUAAAUUGUUGAAAGACAGUGGCUCAGAUUCAUACUAAAUUGGCCUCAACUCGAAUAGGUGCUGGCAUGGGCUCACUUGACUGAUAGGUCACACUUUGCAAAGUUUGUGAACACUUUUGGGUAUUUUCAACUCUGUAAUCCCCUUACAAAGACAUAGUAAUACAAUCUGUUUCCCCACAUGCUGCUCCAAAAAUUCUUUCAUAAAUUAUGUUAAAUUACCUAUUUGUUUGUUUGGUAACUCUUUAGGGCAGUCUUUUUAUUUUAUCCUUAGUAUCUGGCAAAUGCUUUAAAAAAAUAAUUACUAGGUUAGGAUCUAUGUUGUCUUUCAGAGGGAGAAACUGAGAAUUUGGCUAGGGCUUCACAGCUAAUGAAGACCAUAGGCAUUCUAACUUCCCACCCAAACUGAGAUUGUACACUUCCGGUCCAGGCCACUUAGGCAGUAGAGGUGCCCCGGGGGAAAUGAGCAAAGGAGGAGUAGGAUAAUUUGGAGGAUCAGCCCUCAGACCCCAAAACAGAUGGCCACCACCUCAUGUUCCCUAUCCGGACUUUUCAUCUUUAGGACUUUGGGGGGAUAAUUUUCCCUUCCUUGGUCCUAAAGCCUCCUCUGAGUGGAGUCUAGAAAUCUUUCCAUGAGCCACACUUCGAUGUAGUCUAUGCAGGCAGGAUAAGUUAGGAUUUGGGCUGUUUUACACAGAACAAAGGGAAAGGAGAGAAAGGACAAGGAAGGGUCCAGAGCAUAUCGCAGUUUUACUUCACCAUUUUGUAGGUUUUAUUCUCAAACAUCAAAAUGUACCAAGUUACAAAAAGGUUGGUGGUGAUCAGGCUGGCAGUCAGAGAAAUGUAGAGAGUCUCAUUGGUACGUCUGUACCUAGCACAGUGCUGUUACUUUAUAUUUAUGCAUGUAUGUAUGUGCAUUAAUUUUGAAGACAGGAUCUCUGCUAUGUAGUUUAGGCUGACCUUGAACUCAUGACAAUUUUCCUCCCUCAGCCUCCUGAGUGCUGGGAUUACAUGCAUGCACUACCAUACCCAGCUUGCUUUACUUUUAAAAGGUAGUUUUAAAUGAGGGAGAGACAGGAGGAUCACAAGUUCUAGCUCAACCUGGGCAAUUUAGCAAGAUCUUGUCUUAAAAAAUAUUGCUAGUCAUGGUGAUGCAUGCCUG
ensembl:lncRNA